AUUGAACGCUGGCGGCAGGCCUAACACAUGCGAGUCGAGCGGAUGAAGGGAGCUUGCUCCUGGAUUCAGCGGCGGACGGGUGAGUAAUGCCUAGGAAUCUGCCUGGUAGUGGGGGAUAACGUCCGGAAACGGGCGCUAAUACCGCAUACGUCCUGAGGGAGAAAGUGGGGGAUCUUCGGACCUCACGCUAUCAGAUGAGCCUAGGUCGGAUUAGCUAGUUGGUGGGGUAAAGGCCUACCAAGGCGACGAUCCGUAACUGGUCUGAGAGGAUGAUCAGUCACACUGGAACUGAGACACGGUCCAGACUCCUACGGGAGGCAGCAGUGGGGAAUAUUGGACAAAGGGCGAAAGCCUGAUCCAGCCAUGCCGCGUGUGUGAAGAAGGUCUUCGGAUUGUAAAGCACUUUAAGUUGGGAGGAAGGGCAGUAAGUUAAUACCUUGCUGUUUUGACGUUACCAACAGAAUAAGCACCGGCUAACUUCGUG
rnacentral:rRNA from 1 species